CAGCAACGCCGCGUGAGGGACGACGGCCAUCGGGUUGUAAACCUCUUUUAGUAGGGAAGAAGGGAACGCAAGUUCUUGACGGUACCUGCAGAAAAAGCACCGGCUAACUACGUGCCAGCAGCCGCGGUAAUACGUAGGGUGCAAGCGUUGUCCGGAAUUAUUGGGCGUAAAGAGCUCGUAGGCGGUUUGUCGCGUCUGCUGUGAAAUCCCGAGGCUCAACCUCGGGCUUGCAGUGGGUACGGGCAGACUAGAGUGCGGUAGGGGAGAUUGGAAAUCCUGGUGUAGCGGUGGAAUGCGCAGAUAUCAGGAGGAACACCGAUGGCGAAGGCAGAUCUCUGGGCCGUUACUGACGCUGAGGAGCGAAAGCAUGGGGAGCGAACAGGAUUAGAUACCCUGGUAGUCCAUGCCGUAAACGUUGGGCGCUAGAUGUAGGGACCUUUCCACGGUUUCUGUGUCGUAGCUAACGCAUUAAGCGCCCCGCCUGGGGAGUACGGCCGCAAGGCUAAAACUCAAAGGAAUUGACGGGGGCCCGCACAAGCGGCGGAGCAUGCGGAUUAAUUCGAUGCAACGCGAAGAACCUUACCAAGGCUUGACAUAUACUGGAAACGGCCAGAGAUGGUCGC
rnacentral:rRNA from 1 species